GACAAGAUUUACCUACACCCACGGGAAGGAACAAAUAGAGAUCAGCAAUUUUGGUUGCAAGUCACGUCUUCAGGAUUGCAGGUGUAAGAGCUGGACAACUGGAAAAAUCUGACAGCCGUUGCCAAUGUUACAUAGCAAGAAAACUGUUGAUAUGAUAUUUUGGCCUAGAAAUGCAGAGCAGAAAAUAAAAAUAUGUAUUUGUU